GCGCGGUGGUCCCACCUGACCCCAUGCCGAACUCAGAAGUGAAACGCCGUAGC
rnacentral:rRNA from 5 species